UUUUUUUUUAAAUAUUUUAUUUUUUUGCUAGUGUUUGUGCGUGUUGGGGGGGGAGGGGGGUUGCCCAGGCUCCCCAGCCGGCUCCCACGUUCCCCAGCGUGGCGAAAGGCAGAGCCCUUCCACUGGGGGAAAGUUCGUGCCGCCGCCUCCUAAAGCCCUGGGCGCAGUGGAAUGUUCCACCAGAGGAAAAUGGAACAACCAGGCCACCCAGUCAGGCUUCUCUGAUGGUGUGAAAGCUGCACGAGCUGAUACUCUUAUUAAAAAGAGAGCAUCGGAACACUGGAGAGCCCUGUGUGUUGAGCAGCUGCCGGGAAGGUACUGUUUGUAAGCCAAAUAGCAUGGUUGCUGGUGUGCGUGUGAUAGGAGCGGUUUGGGCAAGAGAACAGUUGAAAUGAAACCGGUGCUCUGCCAAAUUGCUCAUGAUCCCACAGUUGUGAGAAUGCAACUGUGCUCUCUCAAGAGUGGGUAUUCAAAGGAGAGACUGAGUACAGUUUGAUAUAGGAUCCUGUUGUUCAUAGAUAUGGAAGAAAAGACAUCCGAAGGCCAGGUCUACAGUAGGAGCACUUUGCCAGUAUAGACAUACUGGUGCACUACACUGGCAAAGCACUUCUAGUGUGGCACUGCUGACACCAGCAAAACUGCACUCUUGCUGGCAUAGCGUAUUCCAGCCCCGUCAGUGAAAUAAGCUACAUCUGCAAAAGAGCAGUUUUGCUGGUGCAACUGCAUUUGCAUUAGGGGCUUUUGCUGGCACAGCUACGUCAGUCACAAAUCACACUUCAUCAUACCCCGGACCAACAUGACUAUGCCAGCAAAAAUUUGUAGUGAAGACCUGGCCUAAGACAUUCCAGUGCAGAGCUGUUUGCUACAGUACAUUUCUCCAUUUCUUGGUCUCUUCAGAUCAAGACUGGGUGCCUUUCUGGAAGUUAUGGUUUAGCCAAACACAAGUUGUUAUGCUCAAUAUAGAGUGGGUGAAAUUUAAUGGCUUCUGAUAUACAGGAGAUCAGAUUCAGCAAUUCUCAAACUGUGGGUCGGAACCCCAAAGUGUGUCGCGAUCCCAUUUUAAUGAGGUCGCCAGGGCUGGCUUAGAGUUGCUGGGGCCCUGAGCUGAAGCUCGAGCCCCACUGCUUGGGGCAGAAGUCCAAGGGCUUCAACCCUAGGUGGCAGGGCUAGGUUACAGGCCCCCGGCCUGGGGCUAAAGCCCUUGGGCUUUGGCUUUGCUCAGGCUUUAGUCCCCCCUUUCUGGAGUCAUGUAGUAAUUUUUAUUGUCAGAAGGGGGUCAUGGUGCUAUGAAG
rnacentral:lncRNA from 1 species